rnacentral:rRNA from 1 species
UUCCGGUUGAUCCUGCCGGACCCGACUGCUAUCAGAGUGGGACUAAGCCAUGCGAGUCAACGUAGCAAUACGUGGCAUACGGCUCAGUAACACGUAGUCAACAUGCCCAGAGGACGUGGAUAACCUCGGGAAACUGAGGAUAAACCGCGAUAGGUCAGGAUUUCUGGAAUGAUUCUUGACUGAAAUCUACAUGGCCUCUGGAUUGGGCUGCGGCCGAUCAGGCUGUUGGUGAGGUAAUGGCCCACCAAACCUGUUACCGGUACGGGCUCUGAGAGGAGGAGCCCGGAGAUGGGCACUGAGACAAGGGCCCAGGCCCUAUGGGGCGCAGCAGGCGCGAAACCUCUGCAAUAGGCGAAAGCUUGACAGGGUUACUCUGAGUGGUUUCCGCUAAGGGAAUCUUUUGGCACCUCUAAAAAUGGUGCAGAAUAAGGGGUGGGCAAGUCUGGUGUCAGCCGCCGCGGUAAUACCAGCACCCCGAGUGGUCGGGACGAUUAUUGGGCCUAAAGCAUCCGUAGCCGGUCCUGCGAGUCUUCCGUUAAAUCCAGCUGCUCAACAGAUGGGCUGCGGAAGAUACUACAGGGCUAGGAGGCGGGAGAGGCAAGCGGUACUUUAUGGGUAGGGGUAAAAUCCUUUGAUCCAUAGAAGACCACCAGUGGCGAAGGCGGCUUGCCAGAACGCGCUCGACGGUGAGGGAUGAAAGCUGGGGGAGCAAACCGGAUUAGAUACCCGGGUAGUCCCAG